CUCGGCCCAAGGCUUGACGACGCCACGAUCAACCCUUUUCAAGGAAAUACAAGAAUGUCUUUGCGAAUAUCGGCUUCAAUCUGACACUUGAAAAUGCACCAAGAAAACGUCCAUCGUCUGGCAACGUCUCAAAAUAGUUCUCAAUCGAAAACACAAAUGUCCACACCUAGAAAAAGGCUGUUGGCUGGUUUGCGCAGUGGGAAGAAGAUUUUCCCACUGAAGGACAAGGUUCCUGCGCCAGUCAUCGUGACCGUCUUCCUAGGAGCAACCAUCUUCAUAAUCAUCUUCACCACAGCCAAACCCAGCUCUCUGGAUCCCAUGGGACAAUACAAAGUUGAUGACGGCAUCGAGGAGCGAGGAGAGACCCUCCCCCACCUAGAUUCAUGUUCCUUCACGACUGGCUUCCGGAGGAGGCUCGCAGCCACGGUGGCACAGGUGGAGAGAGAAAUCCAUCGACUCGCAGG